GAUGAACGCUGGCGGCGUGCCUAAUACAUGCCAGUCGAGCGAACAGACGAGGAGCUUGCUCCUCUGACGUUAGCGGCGGACGGGUGAGUAACACGUGGAUAACCUACCUAUAAGACUGGGAUAACUUCGGGAAACCGGAGCUAAUACCGGAUAAUAUAUUGAACCGCAUGGUUCAAUAGUGAAAGACGGUUUUGCUGUCACUUAUAGAUGGAUCCGCGCCGCAUAGCUAGUUGGUAAGGUAACGGCUUACCAAGGCAACGAUGCGUAGCCGACCUGAGAGGGUGAUCGGCCACACUGGAACUGAGACACGGUCCAGACUCCUACGGGAGGCAGCAGUAGGGAAUCUUCCGCAAUGGGCGAAAGCCUGACGGAGCAACGCCGCGUGAGUGAUGAAGGUCUUCGGAUCGUAAAACUCUGUUAUUAGGGAAGAACAAAUGUGUAAGUAACUAUGCACGUCUUGACGGUACCUAAUCAGAAAGCCACGGCUAACUACGUG
rnacentral:rRNA from 1 species